rnacentral:lncRNA from 1 species
CUGUGUUUUCCCUUUGGGAAGAAUCACAGACAACUGUAAUCUUUGAGAACUCAUUGAACAAUAAGAUGAUGGCCCAUGUCAUGAAGACAGACCACCCAUGACAUCUCACGCCAUGCAAUGCAGCCACAAAGAAGCAUAUUCACACAAAGUGCUACCCAGAAGACUCCUUUACGCUUGCCAUCAUCACCCUCCAUCUGAUGGUGACAACUUCAGACAUAGUUCUAAAUGUCCCCAUCCAAUUUGGAUCUGGGUUUUAGAUGAGGUAAUUGAUUCAGGACUGAAUCCAGUUCUUUAAAGAAAGAAAAUAAAGGUUGAGAUUUGAGUUAACUUAAUUUUUUUCCGGUCCCCGUGGCGAAUAUCCCAGGAAUGAUGCUGACGCUGCUGAACUGCACAGUGCUUUAACAACAAGCUUAGCUUUACUUCUUAU